rnacentral:rRNA from 1 species
GGGCGCACGGUGGAUGCCUUGGCACUAGGAGCCGAUGAAGGACGGGACGAACACCGAUAUGCUUCGGGGAGCUGUAAGCAAGCUUUGAUCCGGAGAUUUCCGAAUGGGGAAACCCACUGCUCGUAAUGGAGUAGUAUCCAUACUUGAAUACAUAGAGUAUGAGAAGGCAUACCCGGGGAACUGAAACAUCUAAGUACCCGGAGGAAGAGAAAGCAAAUGCGAUUCCCUGAGUAGCGGCGAGCGAAACGGGAACAGCCCAAACCAAGAGGCUUGCCUCUUGGGGUUGUAGGACACUCUAUACGGAGUUACAAAGGAACGAUAUAAGCGAAGAGGUCUGGAAAGGCCCGCCAAAGAAGGUAACAGCCCUGUAACUGAAAUGUUGUUCUCUCCAGAGUGGAUCCUGAGUACGGCGGAACACGUGAAAUUCCGUCGGAAUCCGGGAGGACCAUCUCCCAAGGCUAAAUACUCCCUAGUGACCGAUAGUGAACCAGUACCGUGAGGGAAAGGUGAAAAGCACCCCGGAAGGGGAGUGAAAUAGAUCCUGAAACCGUGUGCCUACAAGUAGUCAGAGCCCGUUAACGGGUGAUGGCGUGCCUUUUGUAGAAUGAACCGGCGAGUUACGAUCCCGUGCAAGGUUAAGCAGAAGAUGCGGAGCCGCAGCGAAAGCGAGUCUGAAUAGGGCGCAUGAGUACGUGGUCGUAGACCCGAAACCAGGUGAUCUACCCAUGUCCAGGGUGAAGUUCAGGUAACACUGAAUGGAGGCCCGAACCCACGCACGUUGAAAAGUGCGGGGAUGAGGUGUGGGUAGGGGUGAAAUGCCAAUCGAACCUGGAGAUAGCUGGUUCUCUCCGAAAUAGCUUUAGGGCUAGCCUCAAGGUAAGAGUCUCGGAGGUAGAGCACUGAUUGGACUAGGGGCCCCUACCGGGUUACCGAAUUCAGUCAAACUCCGAAUGCCGAUGACUUAUCCUUGGGAGUCAGACUGCGAGUGAUAAGAUCCGUAGUCGAAAGGGAAACAGCCCAGACCGCCAGCUAAGGUCCCAAAGUAUACGUUAAGUGGAAAAGGAUGUGGAGUUGCUUAGACAACCAGGAUGUUGGCUUAGAAGCAGCCACCAUUUAAAGAGUGCGUAAUAGCUCACUGGUCGAGUGACUCUGCGCCGAAAAUGUACCGGGGCUAAACGUAUCACCGAAGCUGCGGACUGUUCUUACGAACAGUGGUAGGAGAGCGUUCUAAGUGCAGUGAAGUCAGACCGGAAGGACUGGUGGAGCGCUUAGAAGUGAGAAUGCCGGUAUGAGUAGCGAAAGACGGGUGAGAAUCCCGUCCACCGAAUGCCUAAGGUUUCCUGAGGAAGGCUCGUCCGCUCAGGGUUAGUCGGGACCUAAGCCGAGGCCGAAAGGCGUAGGCGAUGGACAACAGGUUGAUAUUCCUGUACCACCUCCUCACCAUUUGAGCAAUGGGGGGACGCAGGAGGAUAGGGUAAGCGCGGUAUUGGAUAUCCGCGUCCAAGCAGUUAGGCUGGGAAAUAGGCAAAUCCGUUUCCCGUGAAGGCUGAGCUGUGAUGGCGAGCGAAAUUUAGUAGCGAAGUUCCUGAUUCCACACUGCCAAGAAAAGCCUCUAGCGAGGUGAGAGGUGCCCGUACCGCAAACCGACACAGGUAGGCGAGGAGAGAAUCCUAAGGUGAUCGAGAGAACUCUCGUUAAGGAACUCGGCAAAAUGACCCCGUAACUUCGGGAGAAGGGGUGCUUCUUAGGGUGUUAAAGCCCCGAGAAGCCGCAGUGAAUAGGCCCAGGCGACUGUUUAGCAAAAACACAGGUCUCUGCGAAGCCGUAAGGCGAAGUAUAGGGGCUGACGCCUGCCCGGUGCUGGAAGGUUAAGAGGAGCGCUUAGCGUAAGCGAAGGUGCGAAUUGAAGCCCCAGUAAACGGCGGCCGUAACUAUAACGGUCCUAAGGUAGCGAAAUUCCUUGUCGGGUAAGUUCCGACCCGCACGAAAGGCGCAACGAUCUGGGCACUGUCUCAACGAGAGACUCGGUGAAAUUA